rnacentral:rRNA from 1 species
CACCCGCCCGUCACACCAUGGAAGCCAGCUGUACCGGAAGUCGGUGCGCCCAACCCGCAAGGGAAGUAGCCGCCCAUGGUAUGACUGGUGACUGGGGUG